AUUGAACGCUGGCGGAAUGCUUUACACAUGCAAGUCGAGCGGCAGCGCGGGGCAACCUGGCGGCGAGCGGCGAACGGGUGAGUAAUGUAUCGGAACGUACCCAGUCGUGGGGGAUAACUAUCCGAAAGGAUAGCUAAUACCGCAUACGUCCUGAGGGAGAAAGCGGGGGAUCGCAAGACCUCGCGCGAUUGGAGCGGCUGAUAUCGGAUUAGCUAGUUGGUGAGGUAAAGGCUCACCAAGGCGACGAUCCGUAGCUGGUCUGAGAGGACGACCAGCCACACUGGAACUGAGACACGGUCCAGACUCCUACGGGAGGCAGCAGUGGGGAAUUUUGGACAAUGGGCGCAAGCCUGAUCCAGCCAUGCCGCGUGAGUGAAGAAGGCCUCGGUUGUAAG
rnacentral:rRNA from 1 species